GAGGGUAUAGCUCAGUGGUAGAGCACUUGCUUAGCAUGCAUGAGGUCCUGGGUUCAAUCUCCAGUACCUCCA
rnacentral:tRNA from 1 species